rnacentral:rRNA from 1 species
CCAACAUGAAGCAGAACCUGGGGUUCGCUUUUCUCUACAACGCGCUCGGUGUGCCAGUGGCCGCAGGGGUGCUCUAUCCGGUCUUCGGCAUCCUGCUCAACCCUAUGCUCGCCGCACUCGCAAUGAGCCUGUCGUCGGUCUCGGUGGUCGGCAAUGCGCUUCGCCUCCGCGGCGUUGACCUUCGGUGAACGGCGCGACAGUGCGACUCCGAAACCAGGAGAUAACCAUGGAAGCCGAGCAACUGACGGGG